CUUGCAUAAAUAAAUUUAAGCAUCCAAAAGACAGAACCUGCCGCCAAAACAUAUAAAUGUGGUGAUCACCACAUCAUGAUGUGGAAUCAUAUUUGUUGAGAUUACUGGUGUACUUGAGAACAUGGUAUUUUAUGAAGCUGAAACCAGAUUUAGCAACCAGUACAAUCUCAAGUUCCUCGGUUGGGUCUUAGAAUCUCUUGAACUUGAUGAAUGAUGCUGCAAAUUUUCAUUCCAGAUACAGUAAUAGCAUUCUCCCUGAUUUGUCAUGAAGGCCAGGAAGUUUCAGUGCCGAACCACUCCAUGGAUCUGUUCAGAAUGAAAGAUUAAUCUAUUAUCUAACCACCUGGAGGCUUAUAUGGCUCUUGCAACAGAUCCAUUUGCAUCUGCGAAUGCACAAGAGCAUUCUGAUUCCUGAAGACAAUACCACCAUCACUACCUCGAGCAGCUGCGUCAUCAACAGAAGCACAGCAAAACUUACAGUACCAGCACCAACAUGCAAAAUAUGAUCCAAGAGCACCAGAACUUCCACUGCUGUUAGAAUUAUGGAAAGGCCAUUAACACAAGAUCAAGAAGCUCUCAGAUACCCUCAGUGCGACUCAUUGGGUACUAUGUUCUGCUAGUACAAGGACUGCAGCCUCUGGCAGCUGCGCCCUUCCACAAGGAAGCAAAUGCCAUUAAACUCAUGGUGUCACCCUGGAACAUUCCGGUCGGCAGCAGAUGUAGGAAGAACAAGCACAUCAAGAGGGGGGGGAGCGAUCGUGUUGGUGGCACCCGGUCAAACCUGUUCAUCUGACUCUUCUAUUUUGCUAAUUCCAGAGAACGGGUGUAAUAUACAAGUAUAUUUUAAGAAUCAUAUGUGGGUUAUUCCAAUUGUGUUCUUAACGCGGCCUGGAUAUUUACAUUGUAGAGUUAAAAUGAAUGUAUAUAUCACACCUUUUCGAGAUUAUAGCCAGGUUAUGCAAUAUCUUGGACUUGGACUUCUUUAUCUCAACCCUCC